CCUACGGGAGGCAGCAGUGGGGAAUAUUGCACAAUGGGGGAAACCCUGAUGCAGCGACGCCGCGUGAGUGAAGAAGUAUUUCGGUAUGUAAAGCUCUAUCAGCAGGGAAGAAGAAAGACGGUACCUGACUAAGAAGCCCCGGCUAACUACGUGCCAGCAGCCGCGGUAAUACGUAGGGGGCAAGCGUUAUCCGGAUUUACUGGGUGUACAGGGAGCGUAGACGGCUGUGCAAGUCUGAAGUGAAAGCCCAGGGCUCAACCCUGGGACUGCUUUGGAAACUGUGGAGCUAGAGUGCUGGAGAGGUAAGUGGAAUUCCUAGUGUAGCGGUGGAAUGCGUAGAUAUUAGGAGGAACACCAGUGGCGAAGGCGGCUUACUGGACAGUAACUGACGUUGAGGCUCGAAAGCGUGGGGAGCAAACAGGAUUAGAUACCCUGGUAGUC
rnacentral:rRNA from 1 species